UACCUAAAUGUUUUAAAUCUCAAAAUGCCA
rnacentral:piRNA from 1 species